GACCCUGAUGCAGCCAUGCCGCGUGUGUGAAGAAGGCCUUCGGGUUGUAAAGCACUUUCAGUUGUGAGGAAAAGUUAGUAGUUAAUACCUGCUAGCCGUGACGUUAACAACAGAAGAAGCACCGGCUAACUCCGUGCCAGCAGCCGCGGUAAUACGGAGGGUGCGAGCGUUAAUCGGAAUUACUGGGCGUAAAGCGCACGCAGGCGGUUUGUUAAGCUAGAUGUGAAAGCCCCGGGCUCAACCUGGGAUGGUCAUUUAGAACUGGCAGACUAGAGUCUUGGAGAGGGGAGUGGAAUUCCAGGUGUAGCGGUGAAAUGCGUAGAUAUCUGGAGGAACAUCAGUGGCGAAGGCGACUCCCUGGCCAAAGACUGACGCUCAUGUGCGAAAGUGUGGGUAGCGAACAGGAUUAGAUACCCUGGUAGUCCACACCGUAAACGCUGUCUACUAGCUGUGUGUGCCUUUAAGACGUGCGUAGCGAAGCUAACGCGCUAAGUAGACCGCCUGGGGAGUACGGCCGCAAGGUUAAAACUCAAAUG
rnacentral:rRNA from 1 species